rnacentral:rRNA from 1 species
AAUAGAUACCCGGGUAGUCCACGCCGUAAACGAUGUCGACUUGGAGGUUGUUCCCUUGAGGAGUGGCUUCCGGAGCUAACGCGUUAAGUCGACCGCCUGGGGAGUACGGCCGCAAGGUUAAAACUCAAAUGAAUUGACGGGGGCCCGCACAAGCGGUGGAGCAUGUGGUUUAAUUCGAUGCAACGCGAAGAACCUUACCUACUCUUGACAUCCAGAGAACUUUCCAGAGAUGGAUUGGUGCCUUCGGGAACUCUGAGACAGGUGCUGCAUGGCUGUCGUCAGCUCGUGUUGUGAAAUGUUGGGUUAAGUCCCGCAACGAGCGCAACCCUUAUCCUUUGUUGCCAGCGGUCCGGCCGGGAACUCAAAGGAGACUGCCAGUGAUAAACUGGAGGAAGGUGGGGAUGACGUCAAGUCAUCAUGGCCCUUACGAGUAGGGCUACACACGUGCUACAAUGGCGUAUACAAAGAGAAGCGACCUCGCGAGAGCAAGCGGACCUCAUAAAGUACGUCGUAGUCCGGAUUGGAGUCUGCAACUCGACUCC